GGAGCAGAAGUGAGGCCGGCGAGACAUCACCAGAUGAGGGUGCACUGGCAAACUAAGCUAAUUCCCAGGACAGCCAGCUGGAGAUGCCACAGCGAGUGGCCUAAGUUCUGUGCUGUUCUUGAACUCUCACUCCUUGGAACCUUUCCUACCAGGAAUGCUGCUUUGUUAAAAAGCUCCAGGUUUGGGAAGAAAGGGGAAGUGGUGGCGGCUGAUGCUGCAGGAAGGCUGUGAGGAGCCAGAGGAGAGCACAAGGCUGGCAGAGACCUGUGGAUGA